ACUCGACGGAAUGGAGCAGCAGUUUUAAAACUAUAGAAGAAGCACCUGCAGUUUCUUUGAAAAGUAACAAUUCUAAACAAUCCGACGAAGACAAAACGCGCAUGGGUCUUCUUAUACCGCUGAUUAUUCUGGCUUUAUAUUUUCUGGUUUCACUUGGUGUUAUUGUGUACCAACGUCGUCUUCUUCAAAAUAAAGAUGUGAAUCAUGGAUAUGGAACCUCAAAACAGACAAACGAAAUAAAAGAGUUUGAUCCGAGAACAAACAAAGGAGCAAAAUAUGAUCACAGAACUCAAAAUGAUGAGACUGUUUACGAGACUCCAGAUGAUGUUAUUGAAGAAAUUGAGCGAAAUGAGGGUGCACGUGGAACUGAAAAAGGACAAGAAUCAUCGAACUACAUGUCGUUACAAGAUAAAAAAGAACCAGCAAACGUUUAUCAGGCAUUGCAACCCCCCGUCACCAAUGAUAAUCAACGUCAUACUAAGGGGGGUGGUCAGUCAGUGGAAUAUCAAAAUCCUGCAUUCAGUGCAGAUUUCAGUGGUGAAUAGUCAUUCGUGAGAAAAAUUCUACAAGUAUUAUAAUAUACACAUAGUCAUACAUGCAUUGGCAUUGUUCCUUAACGCCAAUACACAAGAAUAACUCAAGACACAAGUAUAAUCUCUAAUAUAAUAUAAGUCUGCUUCGAAUGCAAUUCGUAUUUUCAUUCACCAAAACAUGAACAACA